GACGAACGCUGGCGGCGUGCUUAACACAUGCAAGUGGAGCGACGAACCCGGGCUUUCCCUGGGGCAGAGCCGCGCACGGGUGAGUAUCACGUGUGUAUCGUGUCCCGAUGACUGGGACAUCCCGGGGACACCCGGGCUCAUAUCGGAUGUGCCCCCUCACAUUACUGGGGUGUGUAAAGGAAGCUUCGGCCUCCGCGUCUGGGCCGGCCCGCGGUCCCUUAGCUUGUUGGUCAGGUGACGGCUCACCAAGGCUGCGAUGGGUUGCUGGUGUGGGUGGACGAUCCGCCACACUGGGACUUGGACGCGGCCAAGAGUCCUACGGGAGGCAGCAGUGGCGAAUCUUGCGCAGUGGGCGGAAGCGUGACGCAACAACGCGGCGUGGGAGGAGGCGGCCUUCGGUUUGGAAACCCCUUUCAGUGGUGACGAAGGUCGGUCGGUUAACAGCCGGUCCGACUGACGGUACCUUCACAAGAAGCCCCGGCUAACUACGUG
rnacentral:rRNA from 1 species